GCGGACUUGCUGGAAUUGGCAGACAGGCAUGACUAAGGAUCAUGUGCCCCUAGGGCGUUCGGGUUCAAGUCCCGUAGUCCGCA
rnacentral:tRNA from 1 species